UGUUAGCUCACUACUAACCAGCUCUGAACAUGUCUCAGGGUGGUCCUCGUGAGACUCCGAUUUCAAGGAUUACCAAUGCCCAGGUAGCUUCCACUUUUAAAGCAACCGGGAAACAGACUGAUUUUUAAUUUAACUAAUACGAUUAUCUUAACUACUGAGUUAGUAAUACUAGGAAUUUCCCACCAAAGGUUGCUUCAUGGCCUGUGUAUUAGCCAUGUUUUUAUCUGAGAGAACAGCUUAAAGGAGUUCCAGAGAGUGAGUGGCUCCGAGCACAGCUGCUGUGGUGGUCUGGCACAGGAUGGUUUUUCUGUUUGUUUGUUUGCUUGUUUGUUUGUUUGCUUGUUUGUUUUCCUGGACAGGAAACAGAAUGAAAGGGUCCAGGACAAAAUGUUCCCUUCUAAGAUGAAGACUUGCUGCCUCCAACCAGGAAUCUUUUGCUAUCUAGACCCUCUUGAAAUAGAAAAAUGAUCUGGAGAUGAAGUGGUCAACACACUAACUUAUAGGGUGCUUUAUAUUUAAAUCAUAAAGGAGUUUUGAUUUAUUCGAUGGUUGGUUGGUUGGUUGGUCAGUUGCAGUGUUGGAGAUUGGACCCAGGACAGCAUGCAAGUUGGGCAAGUUGGGCAGCCCAUGAGCUGCAUCCCCAUCAUUACCACCAUCACCUCUAAAGAAUAUUUCUUGCCUAAGUUAGCUACCGGGCUGUUUCCAAGAGCAUAAAGGAAGUACUUUGAUAGAAGUAGAGACAGGGCAGUAUGGACCCAGGCAGGUUUCAAUCCCUCACUAUUUGCACACAGUGUUAAAUAAGUUGUGGUUUUCUCAGUCUGAAAAAUUUCCUUCUUUAAAAUAGAAACUCACUAUCAGUUUUAUGAAGUAUUUGGGCGAGAAGGCUUUCAGAUUUAGGUUAUUUUUAGAUCUUGAAAUACUUAUAUAAGUAGAUAAUGAAAUAACAGCGAUGGAACCCAAGGGUAAAUAUGAAAUUCAUUCAUGUUAUACAUAUAUACAUACAUACAUACAUACAUACAUACAUACAUACUACUCACAUAGCCUGAAUGUAAUUUUAUAUAAUUUCUUAAUGAUUUUAUUCAUAAGACGUGUACAGUGUAGAAUUUUCUACCAUGAUGUAAUACAGUUGACCAACAAAAUUUGAGGACUGGGCAUGGAGUGACACAUUUCAAUUUCAACUGUUACUGCCAGCAAGAGUCAUUUGAGAGUAGUUAAUUUUUCGAUUCGCAAUUCCAUUCUUCCCCCCACCCCCACCCUUUUUUGUGUGUGGAGACUGAACCCAGCACUUUGCUCAUGCUAAGUGUUUGCCAUCAACUGAAGAACAUCCUAGCCUGCUCCUGUCAUUCCCUCCUGCCAAGCUCAUUUCCCCCAGGUAUUCUCAAACCUAGACGUGUUGUAGGUUGUCUACAGAAGCUUUUGGCAGGGAGUGGGGUGGGGAAUCAGCCUGGGUAGCCUAUGAGCAUCUUUUUUAAAACUUAAAGGAAUAAGAAAGAAUAAUAGAAAGAGGUGAUGGGGCAGAGUACAGAUGGGGGCUGCCCAGUGCCUCUGAGCACCUUUGGGCAGAGGAUGUAGAGCAAGCACUUAGCAGCUGCUGGACCAAUCUGACACUGCUGGUGCUUUCCAACACAUGAUCUGUUUUCUAGUGAUUAAUUGUUGCUAUAAGUUUUAAAAUAACAUUGGUUUCUAAACUACAGGUUAGGAAAGUGAAACAAAUGAGACUUUACCACAGAUACAAGGGAUAACUAUUUUAAAAGGAGUAUUUACAUGAUGG
rnacentral:lncRNA from 1 species